UACGGAGGAUGCGAGCGUUAUCCGGAUUUAUUGGGUUUAAAGGGUGCGUAGGCGGACUGGUAAGUCAGUGGUGAAAUCCUGCAGCUUAACUGUAGAAUUGCCAUUGAUACUGUCAGUCUUGAGUACGGUCAAGGUAGGCGGAAUGUGUAAUGUAGCGGUGAAAUGCUUAGAUAUUACACAGAACACCGAUUGCGAAGGCAGCUUACUGGGCCAUUACUGACGCUGAGGCACGAAAGCGUGGGGAG
rnacentral:rRNA from 1 species